UACGUAGGGUGCGAGCGUUAAUCGGAAUUACUGGGCGUAAAGCGCACGUAGGCGGUUUUUUAAGUCAGAUGUGAAAGCCCCGGGCUCAACCUGGGAAUUGCAUUUGAAACUGGGGAACUAGAGUGUGUGAGAGGGGGGUAGAAUUCCAAGUGUAGCGGUGAAAUGCGUAGAGAUUUGGAGGAAUACCAGUGGCGAAGGCGGCCCCCUGGCACGAUACUGACGCUCAGGUGCGAAAGCGUGGGGAGCAAACAGG
rnacentral:rRNA from 1 species